UGGGGAAUAUUGCACAAUGGGCGCAAGCCUGAUGCAGCGACGCCGCGUGGAGGAAGAAGGUUUUCGGAUUGUAAACUCCUGUUAAGUGGGAAAAAAUCCUGACGGAUAAUACCCGAUCGGGGAUGAUGGUACCACUAGAGAAAGUACCGGCAAACUUCGUGCCAGCAGCCGCGGUAAUACGAAGGGUACAAGCGUUAUUCGGAGUUACUGGGCGUAAAGAGCGUGUAGGCGGUUAGUUAAGUUAGUUGUUAAAUUCCCCAGCCUAACUGGGGACAAGCAACUGAAACUGGCAAACUAGAGUGUAAGAGAGAGAAGUAGAAUUCCCGGAGUAGCGGUAAAAUGCGUAGAUCUCGGGAGGAAUACCGAUGGCGAAGGCAGCUUCUUGGCUUAUAACUGACGCUAAAGCGCGAAAGCGUGGGGAGCAAACAGG
rnacentral:rRNA from 1 species